UGAUUACACAAAUCACAGUAGAACGGAUCAUGUGACCCUGGGCUCCAUGAAAGAAUCAGUUGGUUUUCGUGAUAUCGCCACUUUUUUCGCCCGGGUAAUUCUAUGCACGUUUUGUCAA